rnacentral:rRNA from 1 species
AUUGAACGCUGGCGGCAUGCCUUACACAUGCAAGUCGAACGGCAGCACGGGAGCAAUCCUGGUGGCGAGUGGCGAACGGGUGAGUAAUAUAUCGGAACGUGCCCAGUCGUGGGGAUAACGUAGCGAAAGCUACGCUAAUACCGCAUACGAUCUACGGAUGAAAGCGGGGGAUCGCAAGACCUCGCGCGAUUGGAGCGGCCGAUAUCAGAUUAGGUAGUUGGUGAGGUAAGGGCUCACCAAGCCGACGAUCUGUAGCUGGUCUGAGAGGACGACCAGCCACACUGGGACUGAGACACGGCCCAGACUCCUACGGGAGGCAGCAGUGGGGAAUUUUUGGGACAAUGGGCGCAAGCCUGAUCCAGCAAUGCCGCGUGCAGGAUGAAGGCC